rnacentral:rRNA from 1 species
AUUGAACGCUGGCGGCAUGCUUUACACAUGCAAGUCGAACGGUAACAGGCCGCAAGGUGCUGACGAGUGGCGAACGGGUGAGUAAUGCAUCGGAACGUGCCCAGUCGUGGGGGAUAACGCAGCGAAAGCUGUGCUAAUACCGCAUACGAUCUGUGGAUGAAAGCGGGGGACCGAAAGGCCUCGCGCGAUUGGAGCGGCCGAUGUCAGAUUAGGUAGUUGGUGGGGUAAAGGCUCACCAAGCCAACGAUCUGUAGCUGGUCUGAGAGGACGACCAGCCAGACUGGGACUGAGACACGGCCCAGAGUCCUACGGGAGGCAGCAGUGGGGAAUUUUGGACAAUGGGCGCAAGCCUGAUCCAGCAAUGCCGCGUGCAGGAAGAAGGCCUUCGGGUUGUAAACUGCUUUUGUACGGAGCGAAAAGGCUCUCUCUAAUACAGGGGGCUCAUGACGGUACCGUAAGAGUAAGCACCGGCUAACUACGUGCCAGCCGCCGCGGUAACAC